GGAUGAACGCUGACGGCGUGCCUAAUACAUGCAAGUCGAGCGAACGGACGAGAAGCUUGCUUUUCUGAUGUUAGCGGCGGACGGGUGAGUAACACGUGGAUAACCUACCUAUAAGACUGGGAUAACUUCGGGAAACCGGAGCUAAUACCGGAUAAUAUUUUGAACCGCAUGGUUCAAAAGUGAAAGACGGUCUUGCUGUCACUUAUAGAUGGAUCCGCGCUGCAUUAGCUAGUUGGUAAGGUAACGGCUUACCAAGGCAACGAUGCAUAGCCGACCUGAGAGGGUGAUCGGCCACACUGGAACUGAGACACGGUCCAGACUCCUACGGGAGGCAGCAGUAGGGAAUCUUCCGCAAUGGGCGAAAGCCUGACGGAGCAACGCCGCGUGAGUGAUGAAGGUCUUCGGAUCGUAAAACUCUGUUAUUAGGGAAGAACAUAUGUGUAAGUAACUGUGCACAUCUUGACGGUACCUAAUCAGAAAGCCACGGCUAACUACGUG
rnacentral:rRNA from 1 species